AUUGAACGCUGGCGGCGUGCUUAACACAUGCAAGUCGUGCGGUAACAGGCGUAGCAAUACGUGCUGACGAGCGGCGAACGGGUGCGUAAUACAUGGGAAUCUGCCCUUUAGUGGGGAAUAACCCGGCGAAAGCCGGGCUAAUGCCGCAUAAGAUCUUCGGAUGAAAGCGGGGGAUCGUAAGACCUCGCGCUGAUGGAUGAGCCCAUGUCGGAUUAGCAGUUGGUGAGGUAAAGGCUCACCAAGGCGACGAUCCGUAGCUGGUCUGAGAGGACGGCCAGCCACACUGGGACUGAGACACGGCCCAGACUCCUACGGGAGGCAGCAGUGGGGAAUAUUGGACAAUGGGGGAAACCCUGAUCCAGCGACGCCGCGUGUGUGAAGAAGGCCUGCGGGUUGUAAAGCACUUUC
rnacentral:rRNA from 1 species